UGAAUCGUUAGCGGCGGACGGGUGAGUAACACGUGGGCAACCUGCCCUGUAGACGGGGAUAACACCGAGAAAUCGGUGCUAAUACCGGAUAAUACGAAAGGUCGCAUGAUCUUUCGUUGAAAGGCGGUGCAAGCUGUCGCUACAGGAUGGGCCCGCGGCGCAUUAGCUAGUUGGUGAGGUAACGGCUCACCAAGGCGACGAUGCGUAGCCGACCUGAGAGGGUGAUCGGCCACACUGGGACUGAGACACGGCCCA
rnacentral:rRNA from 1 species